AGAGAACUCAAUACAAGAAAAACGAAAUGACAAGAGAAAGAAAGAAGAAAAGAGAAGAGAAACUUAAGGUAGAAAGAAGGAAAGAGCUACGGUUUUGGGAGGAGAAAAAGCCCAAAACGUUACCAAACAGCCAAUAAGUUUCAGCUGCGCUAAAGGAAAUUCCGAGGCAAGUUUUGGCGAGUUUUGGUGAAUUUCGGGAAAGGUUCAAGAGACGACGAGGCGAGCAUAGUUAAGAGUAAUCCGUAAGAGGUACGUAAAGCGAACCUUUCUUUCUUUUGGCAUGUUUUUGACAUAAGUAUG